UACGUAGGGGGCGAGCGUUGUCCGGAAUUAUUGGGCGUAAAGAGCUCGUAGGCGGUGUGUCACGUCGGCCGUGAAAACCUGCAGCUUAACUGUGGGCGUGCGGUCGAUACGGGCAUCACUGGAGUUCGGCAGGGGAGACUGGAAUUCCUGGUGUAGCGGUAGAAAUGCGCAGAUAUCAGGAGGGAACACCGGUGGCGAAGGCGGCGUCUCUGGGACGGUACUGGACGCUGAAGACGCGGAAAAGCGUGGGGGAGCAAAACAGG
rnacentral:rRNA from 1 species